rnacentral:rRNA from 1 species
AACGUAGGGUGCGAGCGUUGUCCGGAAUUAUUGGGCGUAAAGAGCUUGUAGGCGGUUUGUCGCGUCUGCUGUGAAAAUCCGGGGCUCAACCCCGGACUUGCAGUGGGUACGGGCAGACUAGAGUGUGGUAGGGGAGACUGGAAUUCCUGGUGUAGCGGUGAAAUGCGCAGAUAUCAGGAGGAACACCGAUGGCGAAGGCAGGUCUCUGGGCCACUACUGACGCUGAGAAGCGAAAGCAUGGGGAGCGAACAGG